GCUGGGCGAGGUGGUGCAUACCUGUAAUCCCAGCAGCUUGGGAGGCUGAGGCAGGAGGACUGCAAGUUCAAAGCCAGUCUCAGCAAUUUAGCAAGGGUCUUAAGCAACUAGCAAGACCCUGUCUCUA
rnacentral:sRNA from 1 species